rnacentral:rRNA from 12 species
CCAGACUCCUACGGGAGGCAGCAGUGGGGAAUCUUAGACAAUGGGCGCAAGCCUGAUCUAGCCAUGCCGCGUGUGUGAUGAAGGCCUUAGGGUCGUAAAGCACUUUCGCCAGGGAUGAUAAUGACAGUACCUGGUAAAGAAACCCCGGCUAACUCCGUGCCAGCAGCCGCGGUAAUACGGAGGGGGUUAGCGUUGUUCGGAAUUACUGGGCGUAAAGCGCACGUAGGCGGAUCAGAAAGUUGGGGGUGAAAUCCCAGGGCUCAACCCUGGAACUGCCUCCAAAACUCCUGGUCUUGAGUUCGAGAGAGGUGAGUGGAAUUCCGAGUGUAGAGGUGAAAUUCGUAGAUAUUUGGAGGAACACCAGUGGCGAAGGCGGCUCACUGG